GGGCCAUUUUUAGUGAGCAGUUCAAAUUUAAUUACAAUUGUCAGCAAAAGCCUAACAUACACGGUCAUUAACAAAAUUCAGUUUAAGAAAGCUACUUUCUAAGCUGUACACACAUCUUAUUGAAAGGAUUUGAUUGUAUAGUAGGGGAAGGGAACACUGAUGAAAGCUAAAGCUGAACUUUUAACUGUCCUAAUUAUGUAACCUUAAACUCAUACCCAAAUUACUUGACCAAAAACUUUCAAGAUUCGGAGAGAGAAAAUUAUCUUAGGGUUUUAACACCUCCCCUUCUCCUACUAUAUUUAAAACAUUUCUUUUCACUUACUGAAAUAUAAUGGAACAUUAGAGUACUUCCCAUUUCAUUUCUAAGUUUUGCAUAAUGAGAUUAUGUAUUCACGUGAACAAAAUUUCGUUAUAGAAAGAUGUUAAUAACUAUUUUAAAGGCAUUUCUAGGGGCACCUGGCUGGCUCAGUCAGUGGAGCGUGUGACUCUUGAUCUCGGCGUUGUGAGUUCAAGCCCCAUAUUGGGUGUAGAGAUUACUUUGAAAAAAAAAAUCUUAAAAAAAAAAAAAGGCAUUUUUAUUUGUAGCAAAUUGUAUAUAAACUAAUAUUACUAGUGUUUUUAUUCUCUUCAGUUGGUUUGACCUUCUCUUGUAAUUAAUACUUUUAUGAUGGUACAAAAUCAGAUUUGGGAAACCAAAGUUUAACAGAAGAAUCACAAUAAACUCAACGCUGCAUUACAGCUCGACGUGGGAUAAGGAGACCCUGGAACCCAAAGAACAGCGGUGAGAUUACAGGAUAGGCUGCAAGCAGAUGUGCCGCAAAGAUUUUCUCCUGGAUCAGGAAGUCAUCUUUUAUACUCGUCAAUUCCUUCCAAGUGGAGGGUUAGAACACAAUUCUGGAGCUACACUACUGGAUCAAACACCUGGAUGACCUUCUAGCUAUAGAACUUCGACAAGUUUCUUCAUCAGCACCCACUAUAAGUCUGUGUACGGGAACGGCAGUACCUACUUCCUAGGGUUUCUGUGAGGAUCAAAUGAUUUUUGUAUUCACGUUAGUUCACCUACCUCAAGUGCUUAGAACGGGGGUCAAAGCUUCAUGAAAUUGUUACCUCUGAUGAUGAUAAUGACGGACGACACAGAUGGACACUGUAUUUCAGAAGUCUUGCAUGGCAAUCAAAAAUCUGUUUAGAACUUAACCCUUUAUUUGAAACUAUAUAAACCAAAAGUUUCCAACUGAUUGUACAUGUUAAAAACUUUCUAUAAAUAUCUCUUGGAUACAAAAUUUGGUCCAGUCGUUCAAAAUUAAUUCUAUAAUAUUAUUCUAAAGUCAUACUUAUUUUGAAAGCCUAAAGUUGUUUUUUUAUGGCAAAAACAAAACAGAAAAACCCACCAAGCUGAAAGCUUUUAUUCUGCUAAA